AAUCCGUGACGUUAAAAGUYGUGAGGGUUCAAGUCCCUYUAUCCCCA
rnacentral:tRNA from 1 species